ACCUAACCGGCGAACGGGUGCGUAACACGUGAGCGACCUGCCAUACCCGCGGGGGAUAGCCGGCCCAACGGCCGGGUAAUACCGCAUACGCUCCCUGGGCCGCAUGGCCGGGGGAGGAAACUUCCGGGGCGGGAUGAGGGGCUCGCGGCCUAUCAGCUAGUUGGCGGGGUAACGGCCCACCAAGGCGUCGACGGGUAGCUGGUCUGAGAGGACGAUCAGCCACACUGGGACUGAGACACGGCCCAG
rnacentral:rRNA from 1 species